rnacentral:rRNA from 1 species
UACGUAGGGGGCUAGCGUUGUCCGGAAUCAUUGGGCGUAAAGAGCGUGUAGGCGGCCUGGUAAGUCCGCUGUAAAAGUCAAAGGCUCAACCUUUGAAUGCCAGUGAAUACUGCCGGGCUAGAGUCCGGAAGAGGCGAGUGGAACUCCUGGUGUAGCGGUGGAAUGCGCAGAUAUCAGGAAGAACACCAACGGCGAAGGCAGCUCGCUAGGACGGUACUGACGCUGAGACGCGAAAGCGUGGGGAGCGAACAGG